GGUGCCGAGGGCCAUCUGGCAUCCUAGGUGGGGUGCCGUGGGACCUUCCUCGUGUCUGUGGCAGUGGAAUCCCAUGGUCGUGUUUUCCUGGUGGCCCGGCUGUGGCUGAGGUUU
rnacentral:pre_miRNA from 10 species